GUGCACAACCUGCUGCUCCUCAAAUCUUCAGAGCAUUGAAAACAUGACAUUUUUCCCCAAAAUCCAGUUGAAUCUGUCCUGAGAAAUGUAAGUACUCAUAUAUAAAUCGGAUGGUAUUGUCUAUGAGUGAGUUUUUUCCUACAAGUUGGGCAGGAGUUGGCGUUCCUAAGGGAGUCGCGGAGGCACUGACUACAGAAGACGUGGCCGCAUUUGGUUGACACAAUAAGUCGUCCACUUUGCACAAUCUCCGAGUAACCAUCCAUACAAAUUGGACAGCUAACAGUACCAGAAGGCUUGGAGCUUGCAGUUUCAUCCUCCAGUGGUCCCAGCUCUCGAGACACUUUAUCUGUUACAUACACAUCAUUAUCUCUUGUUUCAUCUUCAUCAUCACUACUUAACACACAGCUGUCUGACUGCCGCUGGCCUCUUAGUCUGAGAUUUC
rnacentral:lncRNA from 1 species